GAUGAACGCUGGCGGCGUGCCUAAUACAUGCAAGUCGAACGCGCAGCGAAAGGUGCUUGCACCUUUCAAGCGAGUGGCGAGCGGGUGAGUAACACGUGGAUAACCUGCCUCAAGGCUGGGGAUAACAUUUGGAAACAGAUGCUAAUACCGAAUAAAACUUAGUAUCGCAUGAUACAAAGUUGAAAGGCGCUACGGCGUCACCUAGAGAUGGGUCCGCGGUGCAUUAGUUAGUUGGUGGGGUAAAGGCCUACCAAGACAAUGAUGCAUAGCCGAGUUGAGAGACUGAUCGGCCACAUUGGGACUGAGACACGGCCCAAACUCCUACGGGAGGCUGCAGUAGGGAAUCUUCCACAAUGGGCGAAAGCCUGAUGGAGCAACGCCGCGUGUGUGAUGAAGGCUUUAGGGUCGUAAAGCACUGUUGUAUGGGAAGAAAUGCUAGAAUAGGGAAUGAUUCUAGUUCGACGGUACCAUACCAGAAAGGGACGGCUAAAUAUGUGCCAGCCGCCGCAGUAA
rnacentral:rRNA from 1 species